CAGGAAGGUCCCUGUUGGAUUGUUGCAAGUAUUGAAAAUUUAGAACUUGAAAAAGGGUGGUCGUACGUUGGCUGUAAGAAGUGUCAAAAGAAGGUGGAUAAAUCGGGAAACAUUUAUCUUUGCCCAAACCAAAAAUGUAAAAAUGAAGAUUACUCAGCGGUGACUAGGUACAUGCUUCAGGUUAGAAUACUGGAUCUGUUUCGCUGUUGCUCUGGGACCGCGAAGCCAUCUUUCUUAUAGGCAAGUCCGCAAAUGAAUUGAAGGAAGGAUUACCUGAGAAUACUGGUGCUGUUGAUAAGUGUUCCUAUCCAAUGGACUUGAACAAUGUUCUUGAGAGGAAAUUCAUGUUUAAGGUUAUUAUCAAAAGGUCGAACAUUCAAUUGCAA